rnacentral:pre_miRNA from 1 species
ACACAAGUUCCUGGGGAACUUGGUAAAAUGCAGAUUCUGAUUCAGCAGAUCUGGGUGGGGCCGGAGAGUCUGCAUUUCUAACAAGCUCCCAGGUGACACCCAU